rnacentral:rRNA from 1 species
UCGAUGAAUACCGGUUAAUCUUGUGCCAGCAGCAGCGGUAAUGCAAGUGGUGUAAACGUUCUAUAGGUUGAUUAGGUGUAAAGUGUGAUUUGGACAUGAGUUUUAUAUGUGUAGUGAAAAUUUAUUAUCAGUGUCACGGACUCGUCAUUAGAGGAAUUCUAGAUUUGAUGUGGUGUAGGAAUGUUAGUUGUAAUAGUGAAAUCUGUAUAUAAUUAGUAGAAAAUUGAUUUGAUAUUGGUACCUAAUCUUUGGUAGAUAUUCUAUUCACGAAAGCUUGAGGUGUGACAGGGAUUAGAUACCCCAUUAAUUCAAGUGAUAAAUUAUGGCUUAUUGUAGAUUGGAUCUAUUUUUAACAUGUGAAGGUUCUUAACCUAAGGAGUACGCUUUCAUAAGUGAAACUUAAAUGUUCUGGUGGUGGUUUAGAACAAUAGUGGAAUAGAUGAUUUAAUUCGAUGUUAUGCGAUAAAGCUUAUCACUUAUCUUUUUUAAUACCUAGGUAUAGGUAGAAUUCUAUUCAAGGUAGUGCAUGGCUGUUGGAAGGUAAUGUUUUGUAAUAUCUGGUUCAGUUCAGGAAUAGCCGAUACACUGAGAGAAAUAAUUAAGUACAUUUAAGUAUUUAAAUGGUGUCUAUUAAAAUAUUAGAUAGAAUAACGUCGAGUCAUUAUGCUCUUUUGUUUGGAGAUAUUCAUCUGUUACAAAGAGAACUAUAUAGCUACUUUUUAAUGAGUAAAUCAAAUGUUAUCAUCCUAAUUGAAAACUGAAAUGUUUUUAUAAAGGAGGAAUUAUUAGGAAUCUUUGGUUAGUUACUUAAAGGUGGACAGGAGAUAAACUUUGCACAUACUGCCCGUCAAACAAAAAGCGGAGAUUAAGAUGAAAACAGAAGAAACUACAAAAUUGUGAAAUUGGGAUACUAAUUUGUGUUAAGUCGAAACAUGGUUGC